rnacentral:misc_RNA from 1 species
GUAUGUCUAAAGUUAUGGCCACGUUUCAAAUGCGUGCUUUUUUUUUAAAACUUAUGCUCUUAUUUACUAACAAAAU